UCGAGGAUCUUCGGCAAUGGGCGCAAGCCUGACCGAGCGACGCCGCGUGUGCGAUGAAGGCCUUCGGGUUGUAAAGCACUGUCGAGGGGGAGAAAAGCCGCAAGGCGUGAUCGACCCCUGGAGGAAGCACGGGCUAAGUUCGUGCCAGCAGCCGCGGUAAGACGAACCGUGCGAACGUUGUUCGGAAUCACUGGGCUUAAAGGGCGCGUAGGCGGGCCAGCAAGUCAGGGGUGAAAUCCCACGGCUCAACCGUGGAAGUGCCUUUGAUACUGCCGGCCUCGAGGGAGGUAGGGGCGUGCGGAACUUCCGGUGGAGCGGUGAAAUGCGUAGAUAUCGGAAGGAACACCGGUGGCGAAAGCGGCGCGCUGGACCUCUUCUGACGCUGAGGCGCGAAAGCCAGGGGAGCAAACG
rnacentral:rRNA from 1 species